CCCAAACAUUCAAGGGUGAACAACUUUUCACACUCAACCCAAAUAGACGUCCACCUGGCUUCGCCCAACCGCGCCGGGUAUGGAGUAAACUAAACCGCAUUCGAACAGGUGUUGGAAACUGUGCCUACUACGGUCGAACACAUUGUUCUGGAAUGCCCUCACCAUGCAAAUUCAGGGGACGGAUUGAAGACCUCGCGAACCUCAGUGAAAGGGCCAUCGAGUAUCUGAAAAGAACAAACUUCAAUCUCUAGAUUAAUAUUUAAUUUAAAUCCAGUACCUAA